rnacentral:rRNA from 1 species
CCUACGGGAGGCAGCAGUGAGGAAUAUUGGUCAAUGGACGAGAGUCUGAACCAGCCAAGUAGCGUGAAGGAUGACUGCCCUAUGGGUUGUAAACUUCUUUUAUAUGGGAAUAAAACGUUCCACGUGUGGGAUUUUGUAUGUAACAUAUGAAUAAGGAUCGGCUAACUCCGUGCCAGCAGCCGUGGUAAUAAGGAGGAUCCGAGCGUUAUCCGGAUUUAUUGGGGUUAAAGGGAGCGUAGGUGGAUUGUUAAGUCAGUUGUGAAAGUUUGCGGCUCAAACGUAAAAUUGCAGUUGAAACUGGCAGUCUUGAGUACAGUAGAGGUGGGCGGAAUUCGUGGUGUAGCGGUGAAAUGCUUAGAUAUCACGAAGAACUCCGAUUGCGAAGGCAGUUCACUGGACUGCAACUGACACUGAGGCUCGAAAGUGUGGGUAUCAAACAGGAUUAGAUACCCCAGUAGUC